CACCGGUGAUCGUUUUGAUCCAUUCCAAACAUUCCUGCGCCAGUUCCUUGCUAUAUUUGCUGUUGAUCUGUAACAGAAAUGCAUUUACGAUCAGUCUCAGUUUUCUUUGGGAAUCCAACAAUAACAAAAGUUACGAGAUUAUCGAAAAGAGAUUUCACGAGAUUUUCGUCGAUCUUUCGAACUCGAAGGGGCACGAGCCACUAGCGACUGCUUGUUAUUAAUUAUGCGAUGUGCCAGUGAUCCAAGUAACACAUCCUGUAGGGUCUGCGACAUGAGCGUGGCCGGAGUCACUGACCCAACUUGUUUAAACACUUUGCUCGUUGUUUCUUCGAGGUGCCUCGCAAAUCUUCCCCGUGAACGAAAGCAUCGUUUCGCAGAAAGUUUCUGCGCUGUUUAAAAAUGAUUAAAGACGUAGUAUGUAUUCUCAUUUACCUUUCCAUUGUCAAGACGAUUUCCAGAGUAACAUUUUUUUUUGUCGCUUUCUACGUUUCUGAAGAGGCCAUAGAACAAACGACGAAAUGCUUACCGAUCUAUCGAUAUAGGAGAGAAACUUUAAUCAACCUAGGAAGACAAAAAUCUCUGCUUCAAUUCCAAAAUAAGGAUCAGAAAUUCUUUUGGCCCCUUCCGAGUACCAUACUCGUUUCUGAAUUCAAGAUUUUACAAAAGACGUUACGAACGACCACGGCAACAGCACACCACGAGAUUCGUAUAACCUGAAGUCCGUGGAGAACGCGUAAUGGGCGCACAGUUAUUCACGUAAAGGCUACCUAAAAAGGAGAGGUUCGUAAGCAUGGACCGUCGCAUUCAUCCCGAUGCAGUAUGUAUAUUCCGUUAGGCAUACGGUGUCUUGAUCGUGAUGUAUUUCACGUGUCUGCGUCGUAAAACGACCAGUCUUGUGAUCCUGUGCAUGCAAUUAGAAUAAUAUACUGUCGAUUUGGCGUCUGGUAUCCUUGUUCUAAGCGUGGUGGUAAUCAGAAUUUUGCAAUAUUUGGAGCAUCGUUGCAAAUAUCUCUUGGUCCGGUAUUUUCAUUUUUCAGAUUCUUCGUAUUUUCGAAUACGUUGAAUUGAUAUAUCAGAGUUCGUAAGCGUGGAAUAGUAAAUUUUAUUAAAUCAACUGUAAGAUCGAGAGAAUCGAGCAACCAGGAGGCCAAGCGUAUUAAUUAUAAAUUAUAAUGUGAAUCUGUCAGAAUUCUUGUUACAGACAUAUAAACCAGGAAGUUCAUAAACAAUGCCUCGUUCAAAGAAGUUUCACGAUAGAGGUAUUCACUUUCUCCGAACGCAUCAUUCGGCAGUCCGUUGAAAUUGCAUCCUAAUCACGGAAGAAGAAUAUGCACGAGCAAUUACAAUGUGCAAUUAAUAAGGAUAAUAGCGAUUGUUAAAUUCGAAGUGUUGGAACUUUCACGCAAGUGUGGAUCUUGCUUCCUCUAACUUGCUCCUGUUAUUUCGCUAUUUCGCGGAACAUUUUGUUGUUACGACUUAGUCGCCUUAGUCUAUAAGACGUCAAAAGGAAAUACACGAUAUUUCUGUAUACAAGCAAACUUUUUUCCGUGUUAAAGCUAUCUCGUUUCAAGCAAAAAAACAUCCUUUGCUAUAUUAUCACUCGUAUUUAUGUAAGUGUUUCUAGUUUCUCGUAUCUUUGUUUGAAAUAGAUGCUUUGAACGUUGUUAUCAUAAAAUCACAUAGCAUUAUCGUUAUCAUACGAUCACAGAGUCUCGAGUAUCCAUAAUAGCAGAAAACAUGUAUUACAUUAAUGGAAGGAAGAUUACGAGCGAAACUCAGAUUAAUUUUCUUCGAUUGACAUUUCUUUUAUUUAAUAUAAAUCCUUCGAUUUUUAUAAAUAUUAUAUUUGUAAUUUUUGUGAAGUGAUAGCAGGUAAUCUGUGUAGUUACAAGUGUUCUUCUACACCAGGUUCCCCAUAGCCAACGAUAACAUUCGAUUCGUCCUCAACGACAUCCACUAUCUCCGUGAUAUAAGCCCGUGUAUGAUGUAGAACACGAUGUGAAUACUAUAUUUAGAUAUUGAGUAAGCGCACGAUAAUUUCAUUAACGAGGAAAGAAUGACGAGGAGCGUUGAAAAAUGCUGGCGGUUUUGGGGCAACCGAGUGGAACGAAGCAAACACCGUUCCGAGCGACGUGUCUCGCUUAUGAAAGUACCUUUCAGAUUACUUAAUACGGGAUUAUAACAUCGGCGAGUCUUCUAUUGUAAGGUUGUAGCUCUGCAAGAUCAUUUGCAUAAACUCGCGGCCACGUCAGCGGUCGCUUUGCAAUUUUUGCUUGUGUAAUUAUUCCCGUUCGUCGCCGUGUUUGAUCUUUCGUUUCCAGUAAUAUCUAUUAUUAUACUUAUUACGAACGCGAAUAAAAAAGAUCAUUCGCCUUUUAACUUUUACAGAAAUUAAUUCUAAUUAUUGCGUCGUCCGUUUCCAUUGCUCGGACAAGCUGAGAAUGUUUUUCCUUUUAAUUGUAAUUAUCGUGUUUUCAUUUCGCGUUGAAAAGAAUUGUUGAUCAUAACGAAAAAAUAUAAGAACCUAACACGAUAUGCCAGGGAAACGAUUAUUUUCUAUUUUGUUUCUUUCGUGAUCGAGAAACGAAUCUAAAAAUAACAGUCGCACGAUAGACGCACGUUAAUUUAUCUAACCUCGACCAAAGAAUAGCGCUUAUCGUUAGGUUAAAUUUCACGAAGGCAACGUACAGGUCUUACAAAAGCUACCGAGGCAAAACGAAAUGUUUAGGGACAGGGUGUGACGUCUACCUAUAUAGAUUCCGCUGCAUACCAGGCGAUCUUGAAGCUGGAUCUUCUCGAGCAGGCUGCUCAAGUUGGAAGGGCGUGGUGGAGCGCCUAUUGUGUCGAAGAUUAUGUGGGGUUGCAACAGGCGAACCCUCGUUUAUAUCAUUUUUCUUGCUUCUUCCGACGAGCGAUGCUUCCGCUAUAAAAAGUACGCUCGAACGUUAUCUUCUUUAUAAUUGACUGGAGUUGUUUAUAAAAACUGUAUGCUUUUGGCAAGAAAAAUAUUCACGGCAGAUUCUACCAAGAAACAGGCAUGUUUGUCGAAAUUGUCUAUCACGCUCAAAUAACAUGACGUAAGAAACGACGUGUCGAUAUUAGAUUAUUUUACGUGAUCAUUGCACUUUACCCGAUUAGAUAUCGCGUACUUGUUAAAUUUUUAAACGACGCCGUACAUUUUUGUUUACCGUCGCGUUUCCAUUUAUUUUUGGACAGAAAAAUAUUUAGACAUUGGUCUUAUCUUUUGUCAUUGGAAUGUAAGAGUUACUAUUCCCUGUGCAAAGAUAUUACAGGUUUCUUUCUGUAAUCUGUGCAUCUGAUAUCUGAAAGGAACGCAAUUUGUCGCAGUCACACAGAUCGUUCUGCAAAGGAACGCAGCUUGUAUGGAAGAUUGUUGCAAGCGCAAGUGUGAGUCGGUUGCCGGGGCAAGUGUUUGCAGUUAAAGGAUUGCCUCGUGUCUCUCUGAUACUUGCGACAACGACGCUUUUAACGGCGCUCUAGCUCGUUCACGGUCAUGAAAAUUGGGUCAGAGGCCUGGCCAUCAAUGAGUCGCUGGACAAAUUGAAGGAAUUGCUCUUCUCGAACAGUAUGCCACCAGCGAAAUCAUUUUCCUCGUUACACCAAGUCCACUUAGAUUAAUUUAUUGGUCAUAGAAUUAACGUUGUUAACUAACUUACGAUCGGAGAUGAAGCCUACGAUUGCUUCGUUGAUUGAUGCAAUAGGAACAUGUUUCACUCGAAAGUGUCUCUGAAUUUCUUGCAAAUAUAUCAAAAUAUUACCGGUUAUAAUUUAUUAAUAAUUCGAUUUGUUUCAAUUUGAACAUUAUUGAUGUUACUGAUUAUAUAGUAUUAUUAGCUUGAUCAAUAUUUUAUAUUAUACACGUCGUUUAAGUUUGAUUUAUUUCUACAGAUUAAAAAAUUCCUACCAAUAAAUCACUUACAAUUCCUCUUUGUCAGAGAUAAGACGAUUAAGUAGCAAUUGCUACGAAUCAAGCUGUAUUCGCUGUAUACGACGCAGCAAUAUUUCAACCACGUAAUUUAGUUAUCGAUUAGACGAUAAGAGACAGUUAGAUCGAUCGGCGCAACGAUUUUUAAAAAACCAUCGACUAAUAUCUGAAUAAAUAUUAAAUUGAUAUGGAACUGUGAUAUCGAGGCAUGAAUCCUGUGAAUUUUACAAUUUCUCAGAGGUGGAAUUCGCUGUACAAGCAAUGACGUAAUGCUUCUGUAUAAUUUUACGCAAUUCAAACUCAAUUUUUUAUUCUCUCUUAAUUUAGCAGAAUAAAACGGCCAGAACGAGUUCGGUACUACGAGAUUUGCAACGUUCAGAACGCGUGAUCUAAAAUCCCUUUCCACGAAUCGAAGAAAAAAGAAAAACAGAUGGAAUUGCAUCGAUUACGUCGAUUCACCUUGAUCACGAACGCAAGGAGAACAGCAUUUAAAAGUGUCUCUCGUUCGACCAGUUUCCAUAUCGGUGCAAAAGAUUUGCUCCUGAAACGAUUGGUUGUCUAACGAUCUAUCUUAGGAAAUAGAUUAUCUUAAAAACGACCUUCAUCAUAAAUCUAUAAUUAACCUACUUUCUAAUAAAUAUUCCGUAAUAUGACGCAGUUGCGAUUAUUUGUCUUUCAAUAAUUAAUCCAUUUUUGACUCGUAUAUGUCCUUCCGAUAACUAAUCUCUUUAUCCCUUUCAUCUUUAUCUUCCACUCAAUUUCUACCCAUUCGAAUUAUUUUUACAACUUACUUGAUUACGUUCUAGCGAUGAAGAAGACACUCGACAAUUUCUAAAGUACAUAGAUAAGUACUAUCUACUUUACUGUCACCUUGAUCGGUUCUUUUCCACGUUUUGUGCGGACAACUUUCCAGAAAAGCGAUACUUACGAUUACAUUACAUACAACGAACGUAUAAAAUUGUCUAUGAGUUUAGUAACGAAAAAAAUAAAAAAAAAAAAAGAGAAAAA